rnacentral:rRNA from 1 species
AACGAACGCUGGCGGCAUGCCUAACACAUGCAAGUCGAACGAGACCUUCGGGUCUAGUGGCGCACGGGUGCGUAACGCGUGGGAACCUGCCCUUAGGUUCGGAAUAACUCCCCGAAAGGGGUGCUAAUACCGGAUAAUGUCUUCGGACCAAAGAUUUAUCGCCUUUGGAUGGGCCCGCGUUGGAUUAGCUAGUUGGUAGGGUAAAAGCCUACCAAGGCGACGAUCCAUAGCUGGUCUGAGAGGAUGAUCAGCCACACUGGGACUGAGACACGGCCCAGACUCCUACGGGAGGCAGCAGGGGGGAAUAUUGGACAAUGGGCGGAAGCCUGAACCAGCCAUGCCGCGUGAGGGAUGAAGGCCUUAGGGUUGGUAAGCUCUUUUACCCGGGAUGAUAAUGACAGUACCGGGAGAAUAAGCUCCGGCUAACUCCGUG